GCCGGAGUGGCGGAACUGGCAGACGCGCGGGAUUCAAAAUCCCGUUGGGCUCACCCCCAGUGAGGGUUCGACCCCCUCCUCCGGCACCA
rnacentral:tRNA from 1 species